rfam:Aedes aegypti strain Liverpool supercont1.1151 genomic scaffold, whole genome shotgun sequence.
UGCCCAGCAACUCCUAUCCCUACCUGCUCGUGGUACUGGCCGGGGUACGAGUAACCUUGGGGAAGAUCGGGUAACCAACCCCCGGUGGGAACUUUGGUGGUAUGCUGACAGGGAAGG